UAUUGUGUUAUUGUGGAACAAACGUGGUGCUUCCCAAUUAAAGUUCAAUUCUGAAAAUUUCAGGAUUUUGGACACUUUUUGACUUAUUUUCGAGAAAUUUUUGGUUAACUAAACGCAGAAAAAGCAUUGGCCAAAUGAAUUCAAUGCGAAGUUUAAUUUUCAAGUGUCGUUCCUGGGGUUUUUUGAUUUGUUCUUUUCUUGGGAAAGUUGAUUAUUAUGACUAUGAGGAAAAUAUUAUGCGGUUCAAGUUUUGACCCGGAGUCCUGGAUGCACUCAACUACGUUAGCAUGGAGCUGUAAUGUACAGUAUUGGACGACGUAGCACUCUAAAAUAAUUGUUUACAGAGGAAACUAUUAGGCCGAUAACAUCGCACCUUACUCCAACAACGCGCGCUCCUUCAACUUCUUUAACUCACCGUCAGGUAAGUCACCUUCCAAUUUCGUAACUACUUGUUACUAAAACCUCCUACUAAACUCCUACUAAACUCCUAGAUACUGGUUCAAAAUUUAUGCUGUCCAGAUUUCACUGUUUGUAACAAACUGUCCUGAUAACACUGAGAUUCUGACGAAAAAUAACUUAUUAACUUCAACAGACCUCACGAAUCAAACAAACGUACACAAACAGGAAACGGACCAAACA
rnacentral:lncRNA from 1 species